GUGUCACAGCCUUGGGGAGUUCCUUACUGAUCCCCAAAAUGCCAUUCUGGGCAGCCCUGGGGUAUUCCUUUCUGGCCCCAGAAUAUUCUGGACAGCCCUGAGGUGUCUCACAGCUUUGGGGUGUUCCUUACUGACCCCAGAAACGCCAUUCUGGACAGCUCUGGGGUGUUCCUUUCUGGCCCCAGAAUAUUCUGGACAGCCCUGGGGUGUCUCACAGCUUUGGGGUGUUCAUUACUGACCCCAGAAAUGCCAUUCUGGACAGCCCUGAGGUGUCUCAGAGCCUUAGGCUGUUCCUUCUGCAGGAGUUCUAUAGGAUCGGGAGAACACAGUGUGGGACAGUCUCUCGGGGUGGGAGCAGUUUGGGUUUCUCUGCUNCAAACCAACAGUCCAUCAACUCUCUCCUCCGCCAUAAAAGAAUGCAAAACAAUGAGUUAUUUACAGAAAGUGUGUGAGAAAGUUCACUACAAGAAUGUCAACAUCAAAAGGCUCAGAAAAUCCUAAAACCCAGAGUGACACAGGAGCUGCUCUGGGGCUGCAGGAGCCUCCUGAGGAUGCCCCACAAGCUCAGCCCUGUUGUUGGCUGAGGGCUCUGUACAAAUCACAAACGGGACAGGACUGCUGGGAAUGUGCCUUGAGCUGUUUGAUUUUCCAGCAUCAGCCUCAUUCCAUGGUGAUGAAAAUGGGAGGAUGUCAUCAGCUGACAUCCCAGGCAGCAGAUAAAACUCCAUUAUUAACCCUAGAACUUGGUAAUAUCUCACUAGAUAAACUUUUCUGCAGUUUGAAGAGUUGUUCUAACACGGGCUGCACGACAGACAGGGCUGACACGGGUUUGGGGUUUCUAUGGGAUUUUGGGUUUUUAUGGAAUUUGGGGUUUCUAUGGGAAAUGGCAGCCAGGACUACCAUGGGUUUGGGGGUUUUUAUGGGAUUUGGGGUUUCUAUGGGAUUUGGGGCUUUUAUGGGAUUUGGGGUAUUUAUGGGAUUUGGGGGUUUUAUGGGAAACGGCAGCCAGAGCUGACAUGGGUUUGGGGGUUUUAUGGGAUUUNCAUAUUGUUGUUAAUAUUAUCAUAUUUCCUUCAAUGCUGACUUAUUCACUGAACCUCACUCUCCAUUUGCAGCUCUCGCUCUGCCCCUAGCCAGCAG
rnacentral:lncRNA from 1 species